UACGUAGGGUGCAAGCGUUAAUCGGAAUUACUGGGCGUAAAGCGUGCGCAGGCGGUUUUGUAAGUCAGUUGUGAAAUCCCCGGGCUCAACCUGGGAACUGCAUCUGUGACUGCAUAGCUAGAGUACGGUAGAGGGGGAUGGAAUUCCGCGUGUAGCAGUGAAAUGCGUAGAUAUGCGGAGGAACACCGAUGGCGAAGGCAAUCCCCUGGACCUGUACUGACGCUCAUGCACGAAAGCGUGGGGAGCAAACAGG
rnacentral:rRNA from 1 species